UACGUAGGGUCCGAGCGUUGUCCGGAAUUACUGGGCGUAAAGAGCUCGUAGGUGGUUUGUCGCGUUGUCCGUGAAAACUCACAGCUCAACUGUGGGCGUGCGGGCGAUACGGGCAGACUGGAGUACUGCAGGGGAGACUGGAAUUCCUGGUGUAGCGGUGGAAUGCGCAGAUAUCAGGAGGAACACCGGUGGCGAAGGCGGGUCUCUGGGCAGUAACUGACGCUGAGACGCGAAAGCGUGGGGAGCAAACAGG
rnacentral:rRNA from 1 species